GGGCCCGCACAAGCGGUGGAGCAUGUGGUUUAAUUCGAUGCAACGCGAAGAACCUUACCUACUCUUGACAUCCAGAGAACUUAGCAGAGAUGCUUUGGUGCCUUCGGGAACUCUGAGACAGGUGCUGCAUGGCUGUCGUCAGCUCGUGUUGUGAAAUGUUGGGUUAAGUCCCGCAACGAGCGCAACCCUUAUCCUUUGUUGCCAGCGGUCCGGCCGGGAACUCAAAGGAGACUGCCGGUGACAAACCGGAGGAAGGUGGGG
rnacentral:rRNA from 1 species